UACUAGGCGUACAGUAUUUGAUAGGUAGGUGUCUUAAUCAAACGAAAAUUAGUACAUUUUGUUUCGCCUGUUGGUCAGCACAAUGGAAAAAUGGUUGUCUAGCGUUUUUCCCUGUUUAAAGAAGUAAGAGUGAAUGCUGUUCCACCAGACCUGUUGGGUGACGGUUCCAGACAGCACUAAUGGAGAGGUGGUGACUUCAAUAGGAAGUUGCUUUUGGGAGAUUGUCAGCCAUCAUUUUGAUCCCAGAAAAGCAUGAGAGUUUGUCAGGUGCCAACAUAUAUUGCAAUAUUGGCUCCUCUGAAUAAAAUGUAUCCAGAAUUAUACCUGGUUCUUCUGCUUCCGUCUCAUCCACCGAUGUCACUGACACUCCAAGCUCUAAGCACUUUUUCAUGUGAGCUUUUGACUUCAUGUGUUUCGUAAGGUUUCCUGAAAACAGAUUUUAAAGUGUUUGAAUAACUUGCAU